rnacentral:rRNA from 1 species
GAUGAACGCUGACAGAAUGCUUAACACAUGCAAGUCUUUGGCGAAUCUGUGCUUGCACCGGCUAGCCAAGGCGGACGGGUGAGUAACGCGUAAAGAACUUGCCCUGCAGACAGGGAUAACAGACGGAAACGACUGAUAACACCUGAUACAGUUGCCGGCACGCAUGUGCCUGGCAAUGAAAAGAGAUGCUGCAGGAGAGCUUUGCGUCCUAUUAGCUUGUUGGUGAGGUGACGGCUCACCAAGGCGAUGAUUGGUAGCCGGCCUGAGAGGGUGAACGGCCACAAGGGGACUGAGAUACGGCCCUUACUCCUACGGGAGGCAGCAGUGGGGAAUAUUGGACGAUGGGGGCAACCCUGAUCCAGCAAUUCUGUGUGCACGAAGAAGGUUUUCGGAGUGUAAAGUGCUUUCAGCAGGGAAGAAGAAAGUGACGGUACCUGCAGAAGAAGCGACGGCUAAAUACGUG